rnacentral:rRNA from 1 species
GACGAGCGCUGGCGGCGUGCUUAACACAUGCAAGUCGAGCGGUAAGGCCCUUUCGGGGGUACGACGAGCGGCGAACGGGUGAGUAACACGUGGGUGACCUGCCCUUAGCUCUGGGAUAAGCCUGGGAAACUGGGUCUAAUACCGGAUAUGACUCCAUGACGCAUGUUGUGGGGUGGAAAGCCUUGUGCGGCUAGGGAUGGGCCCGCGGCCUAUCAGCUUGUUGGUGGGGUGANGGCCUACCAAGGCGACGACGGGUAGCCGGCCUGAGAGGGCGACCGGCCACACUGGGACUGAGACACGGCCCAGACUCCUACGGGAGGCAGCAGUGGGGAAUCUUGCGCAAUGGGCGAAAGCCUGACGCAGCGACGCCGCGUGAGGGAUGACGGCCUCGGUUGUAA